CGUCGCGCCGCGCCCGCCUCCCCACCCGGGGACGGGGGAUGCAGUGCGGAGAAUGGUCUCCCGUGCGCCUCGGCGUGCGGAUGGCCCAAAUGGGAUCUCUCGGCGACGCACGUCACGGCCAUUGUUGGUUGAUUAGCUUGACUCGAGUGUGGUCGUGCUCCUCUGCGUCGCCUGCGAGGGCAUCCGAAUGUACCCAAUGGCGCAUGGCGCCAGCAUCC
rnacentral:misc_RNA from 1 species